rnacentral:lncRNA from 1 species
AAACCAGUUCAUACAUUGUAAACAUGGACAAUUCGGCAUGGAUUUAGACACAGAAAGCACGUUUGAGGUAAAAUUGCCUUGAAAUGGGGGUUUACGGGUGUUUUCUAAGUCAAAUGGGUGGACAGACAAAGCUGUAUUUAGUUUACUGUGUUAAAUUUUAAAUUACCCUUACAGUUUUGUUUAUACAACAUGUGAAAUUUUUUAUUUCAGUGUUAACCAUGUUCUGAAGAGCAUUCUGUUGAAAAAUCUUAUAUGUGAAUUGGUCUGCAGAUGACACUUCAGCAUUAAAGUAAUGUAUCAACUAUCAUCAUGUUUUUUUUGUUUUUUGGCCGCAAAAGUUUACAAUUUGCCAUUGUGCCGUCUACAUUUUGCACAGACAAUAAAUCAUCUAAACACUUAUUUGCCCUGGAUUUAUACACAUCAGAAUCCAGUCUCACAUACUUAAACUUUAUAAUUCUUACCAAUUAUUUUUUGUACCAGCAUUCCAAGGGACAUAACCCUUUUUAAAAACAUUUUGAGGUAUUUUUUAUUACUCUUUCUCCCCAUUUUCUAAUGUAAAAUACAAGAAAGUGGACUUUUUGUGUAAAUCUAUUAGAAAUAUACUGUUAUGAGUAAAUAAAAAGACUUUGAUACCAGUAAGCAAUAAAUGAUUGACUGAAAGGGAACCGUUAUUUUUGUCACACUAGGCGAACAGACCAAAAACUUGAGUUACACAUAAGGGCUUAUAGAAACUUCCGUGUAGACUGUUAACAUUUAUAGAGACAGUUCUUUCAGCUAAAACACUUUAAUUAUUGAUUUAACAUUACAUUUAUUUCAUUUUUGUGGGGAAAUAAUCACAUUUGUUUUAUUUUUUAGACAAAAGAUAUCAAGUUUUGAUGAAAAAGGAAGGAAGGAGGAAAAAUGGACCAAAACAGACCAAAACAGACCUUCAAAUGAACUCUAAAAGGUGCAAUAAAAUUGUUUAUCAUCUUAAA